rnacentral:rRNA from 1 species
GACGAACGCUGGCGGCGUGCUUAACACAUGCAAGUCGAACGGAAAGGCCCUGCUUUUGUGGGGCGCUCGAGUGGCGAACGGGUGAGUAACACGUGAGUAACCUGCCCUUGACUUUGGGAUAACUUCAGGAAACUGGGGCUAAUAUCGGAUAGGAGCUCCUGCUGCAUGGUGGGGGUUGGAAAGUUUCGGCGGUUGGGGAUGGACUCGCGGCUUAUCAGCUUGUUGGUGGGGUAGUGGCUUACCAAGGCUUUGACGGGUAGCCGGCCUGAGAGGGUGACCGGCCACAUUGGGACUGAGAUACGGCCCAGACUCGUACGGGAGGCAGCAGUGGGGAAUAUUGCACAAUGGGCGGAAGCCUGAUGCAGCAACGCCGCGUGCGGGAUGACGGCCUUCGGGUUGUAAACCGCUUUCGCCUGUGACGAAGCGUGAGUGACGGUAAUGGGUAAAGAAGCACCGGCUAACUACGUG